UGCUGGUUCCCCUGGUAACUGACGAGCCAGCAUGACGUCAGUUCCCCUAAAAAGGCAGCCUCCUUCUCCCCGCCCAGGAGUGAAGAUGGCGGCUGUGUUCUGUUCUCUGGCCACUGCACACAAGGGGCUGGUGCUCCAAGACUUUGCUUCACACAUGUAAGUUCCCCUGGACAGCAAACCGUUGAUGCUCUGUUGCUGUAUGCAGGUUCUUUUUUCUGUCUCAAGGCUGAGCUACUACAAGGCUCAGCAUGGGGUUUUGGAAGGAGACAUCAACCCAGAAACCUCAGUUAGGAUCCCAGCUCCUCUCAAAAUCCCCCACUUGGCCAGUUUGUUCGUCUGCAACGAAGAUAUGUCCUACUCUUUACCUUGCACUUCUCCAUGAUAACCACUGAUUGGCCCCAUUUUACGCAGAAUUGACACAGAGGCUCAGAAAGAUGAAGUGACUUGCCCAAGGUGUUACAGCAAGUUGGGAUUCAGUCCAAUGCCUGAGUCCCCCAAUGCCAUGCUUUCUGUCCCACAGUGGGAGCCCUGGGCACAAUUUGACUGCUUUUUCACUUUUGGGAAGUGAAGUCCCAGCGCACAGCCCACCCAGGGGCAUCUGUGAUGCACACCAUCUCCCUUUGUGCCCUGGUUCUGCAUGCCUCCCACUGUGAGAACCCUGAGAAACAGGCAGAUGAGCAACCAUGGAUCCAGAUCCUUUGGAGUCACUUCCUGGCAGAUGCCACAUCUAAGGACAUCCCAUGCCCUGCCAAGGGCUGUUUGGAUAUUCCAGCAGACCUGGAUCAGGGGAAGCAGCUCAGCUUGGAAACAGGAAAGAGAACUCAGCUAGAAGACGCCAUCUAAAAACCAGCCAGAAACCAACUUCCAGCCUUCAGAACUGUGAGAAAAUGUAUUUCUGUUGUGUAAGCCCCCAGUCUUCUAUUUUGUCAUGGCAGCCCAGGCAAAGGACUACAAUACACAGUCCCAUCCAAUUUAAACAUAGAACUAAGGCAUGAAACAGAUAAAAUAACCCAGAGAAAGGUAAACAGCUUACAUUUGUGUCAAAUUUACAGUUUACAAAGCUCUGGGGCAGUGAGGGGAGGGAGAAGCCUGGGGCUCAGAGAGGCUGAGAAGCUGGUCUGAGGUCACACAGUGAGAAGACCAAGUCAACCUGGACCUUGAGAUGCGGUACCUCCCAGCAUCUCCCAUCUUUAACCAGGUCUGUACUGGACUACAUUGGUGCUCUGCUCAGAUCCAGUAAAAUCGCCUUCUUAUGUUUUCCUUCCCCUUUACCUGCCAGCCUCUGUGUCUCUUCUCUGGAGCCUCGCCCUUGGCUGCUGGAGGCUCCCUCCCGGCACCUGCAGGGGCCAGAACUGCCUGAGAGUUUCUCUUGGGCAGCCCUCACCUGGUGACUGUCAGUGCCUGUGUGGGACAGCCCAGGUCCCUUC
rnacentral:lncRNA from 1 species